AAGUCGUAACAAGGUUUCCGUAGGUGAACCUGCGGAAGGAUCAUUAAAGAUUCGACCUUCGGGUCUAUCUUAUCUUCAGCUGUGCGCUUUUGCUGCACGCUGUUGAACUUCACACACCUGUGCACACUUCGGUUGCAGUUAGUUAACUCUAGCUGCUUCCGCUUUUACAUUUAACUACUAAGUCUUGAAUGUCAAAUACAAUAAAAAUGACAA
rnacentral:misc_RNA from 1 species